GACCUGGUAGCAUAAUGAAUAGUACAGCUGCUUCUGGUGAUAUCUCGUCAUUGGAGUUGAGCAAAGGAUCCUGGUUCGAAUCCAGGUCAGGUCA